AAAUUUUUGAGAUAUACGAAAUACAUGUGUUAAUAUGUUAGGCGCUUGUACAUGUUAGACACAUGAUAAAUGGAGUCCUGAUAAAUAAUGAAGAGCGCUUUUCAUAAACUGGCAAAGAGCAUGAACGAGCUCGAAAAUGUACUGCUCAUUGUGGAGGUUAUAUCUCCUCAUAUUGCCAAUUUAUAGCUCUAGUUCUUGAUCG
rnacentral:misc_RNA from 1 species